GGCUGGUUAGCUCAGUCGGUAGAGCAUGAGACUCUUAAUCUCAGGGCUGUGGGUUGGGUGAAAGAUUCCUCUAUUGGACU